rnacentral:rRNA from 1 species
GACGAACGCUGGCGGCGUGCUUAACACAUGCAAGUCGAACGAAGAGCGAUGGAAGCUUGCUUCUAUCAAUCUUAGUGGCGAACGGGUGAGUAACGCGUAAUCAACCUGCCCUUCAGGGGGGGACAACAGUUGGAAACGACUGCUAAUACCGCAUACGAUCUAAUCUCGGCAUCGAGGAUAGAUGAAAGGUGGCCUCUACAUGUAAGCUAUCACUGAAGGAGGGGAUUGCGUCUGAUUAGCUAGUUGGAGGGGUAACGGCCCACCAAGGCGAUGAUCAGUAGCCGGUCUGAGAGGAUGAACGGCCAAAUUGGGACUGAGACACGGCCCAGACUCCUACGGGAGGCAGCAGUGGGGAAUCUUCCGCAAUGGACGAAAGUCUGACGGAGCAACGCCGCGUGAGUGAUGACGGCCUUCGGGUUGUAAAGCUCUGUUAAUCGGGACGAAAGGCCUUCUUGCGAAUAGUGAGAAGGAUUGACGGUACCGGAAUAGAAAGCCACGGCUAACUACGUG